rnacentral:lncRNA from 1 species
UCGAGUGUUGUCGAGAGCAGGACUAAUUAUGAUCUAGAUAAUCAUGUGAGAGUCAUUUAUAGAGUUGCCAUGGAGUCCUCUGUUACAUGGGAAGUACGUGCAUGUUCUGUUCUGCCGGCAAUGAAUCUCAAGAUCUCUCUGUGUGCUGCACAUGACGACAUACCGCUUAGGAAUUUUGCCUCCUGUAAUUGACUUGACUCG